rnacentral:piRNA from 1 species
UUCUUGCACAUGGGCUUAAAGCUGUCCUGU